CCUACGGGAGGCAGCAGUGAGGAAUAUUGGUCAAUGGUCGGGAGCCUGAACCAGCCAAGUCGCGUGAGGGACGACGGUCCUAUGGAUUGUAAACCUCUUUUGUCGGGGAACAAAGGCGCCCACGGGUGGGCGGAUGAGUGUACCCGAAGAAAAAGCAUCGGCUAACUCCGUGCCAGCAGCCGCGGUAAUACGGAGGAUGCGAGCGUUAUCCGGAUUUAUUGGGUGUAAAGGGCGUGUAGGCGGGCAUGCAAGCCAGAAGUGAAAGCUGGGGGCUUAACCCCCAAACGGCUUUUGAAACUGGGUGUCUUGAGUGAUGGAGAGGCAGGCGGAAUUCCCAGUGUAGCGGUGAAAUGCGUAGAUAUUGGGAGGAACACCAGUGGCGAAGGCGGCCUGCUGGACAUUAACUGACGCUGAGGCGCGAAAGCAUGGGGAGCAAACAGGAUUAGAUACCCUAGUAGUC
rnacentral:rRNA from 1 species